AUGUUCGCCAUGUGCGAGACCUGGAUGAAGCUGCUGGACGAUCUGCCGACCGGGGACCUGGAAGAGGCCAUCGAGGGUCUCGUUGCAGAUGUAAGCAGUAAGCUGCCACCUGCCACGAAUGCGGAGCAACGCCUCGACGAGUCGAUAACAAAUGGUGGAACGGAGGAAGAGGUUCCUAGAAACGAUGCCGCUGCCGAUUUACGAUCGAGCCUCGUGGUGUUCGUGGAGAAGCUUCAGUCUUUCUCGGAGAUAUCAGUGCAGAAAUACCUAGAUCUGCAGAAAGGCGUCGGUGCGGCCAAAGACAGGCUUCUGAAACAUGAAACAGGCUUGAGAUACUGA
rnacentral:rRNA from 1 species